UAAAAACCUGUUAAUUAGCAGAUAAAUCAACCUUUCACAGAGUAUGUAAUAGAUACAACUAUUUCAUAAAAGAUGGAUGAAGAGACACAUGCCCUGCUGUGAAGUAGUUAUUAGUUUCCUAAUACAGUAGAUGAAUUCUCUCUGUGAGUAUUGAAGAAAUGCAAUUAAAUACUCAGAAUAACAUUUGAUUAGAUUGGUAAGUGUGAGUAAUUAUUGACAAAGAUUUUUGUAUUUUAAAAGAAAAAUCUUUUAUACUCUUUCUAAACUCACAAGUCAGUAGUUGUCAUAAUGCCAAUUUGGAGAGAGCUUCAUGUUUUUUGUGACUGCUAAAGGUGAAUGGAAACAUUGAGUCUACCCUAUUAAAUGCAGAUGCUAUCCCAAACAGGUAUUUGUAGUUGCAAUUUCAGGAAACGUGUAUGUUUAAAUUAUUUUUUCUUAUUUCUUUUAUAGGUCUGCAGAAUUGCUGCCUAGUGGCUGCCAACUUAGUGCUUCUGCCAACCAUCUGAACGUGUAUGAAACUGUUGGCGUUAAUAAUAGUCAUGAUCAGGGCUUGAAAAAUCCACGCGCCCACUUUUGUUGCCAUGGAAACUGCUGAAAACUGGCCCAUUGUAUCAACGUGGAACAUCUGUAGUAUAAGGAAACCUUCAGUACUUUCAGAUGCAAAUCUCCCAUUGAGGCCACUAUCCAAGUGAUGUUUCCACUUACUAACUAAAUUCAGUAAAGCCUCCUCGCAAGACCCUGCCUUUUAAAAAAAAUGUGUUGUAUCAAUUUUUAAUAUAUUAAUGGAACAUAUAAAACAAACUAAUAAACUCAAUACUAAAACCUUAUGUACAUGUAUACCAAGUGUUUGUAAUGCUCCAAAACAAAUUAAUAAUAGUUUAAAAUCUUCAAGCAGAUGAUUCAAUGUUACUUUAAAUGUAUAAGAAGCAAUAGAUUGGAAAGUCCACAACUAUUGAGUUAAUAAUGUUUUCUUCUCUCUUGUCCAAAUGCGUGCGCAGGGAAGACCAAAGGAUUUGACGCUGUUCUCUGAAACUAUUCCUUUGAGUUACUUAAGACGUUCCAGUGUAUUUUACAUACCUGGCUGUUAAUAUAUAUGUCUUCUUUUGACCUCUUCUCUCUUGAUAUCAUACAUAACCUUUUCCAUCGGACAACAGGGGCAUUUUGAAGAAAUAUCCAGACGUGUAAAAUGCUAUUUUAUGAGAAAUGGUAUACAUGCUGUGUAAAGGACCUAGUAUACUAUAUACAGUGUUUAACAUUUGUGAAAUUGUACUGAAUGCCAAAGCAACUUCAUGUUCCAGGCCUUUGACUCUUGGAUGUGUAUUUUUGUUACUGAUUUAGAAUCUGGUUUAGAGAGAAAUCUGUAAAUCUGAAAGUGCAUGUUUGUUAUUUAAGUUGGUAGAGGAAAAAAUUAGUUUUCAAUUACUGAGUGGCAGUCCAUGUUUCCCCUCUUAGUCCAGGAGAGUUACAUUAUUUUUGUAAUAGCUUACAUUGUUGUAUUAUUAUGGAAGCAAUCUUUUUUGAGGAGAGAGCUGUAUCUGGUCUGAUGUCGAAGCAUAAAUAUUUGAAGGUCAAUUUGGCAACAUUUGUGGCUUUAAAUAGUACCUUUGCAAGAAUCCCAAUUUCUUUUGUUUUUUUCAAAACCAGAACUCUAUAUCACAUAGAAACUGAAGGUGAUUUUAGAGGGCUGCUCUUGUGCUUGUCUUCUGACAUUAAUUUCCCAGUUGUUUCCCAUCCCCUCUCAAAAGAAACAGCAAGAGGAUGAUUUGAUUGUUAUUGUGGAGUGUUGAGAGAGAUCAUCAAAGUUGUUGCAUGGACAAUUUAAGUAAAAUCCCACUAUAACCUCUUACAUAGCCUUCACUGUUGUAUCCAGUGUAUCCAUGUUAGAUAAUACACAGUCCUGAUCCGUUCAUUUCCUCACCUAUUGUAACCUAUUCUCAUUUAUUUUAGCAUUGAGCAUUAAGUAACAUAUAACUAAAUAGUUACUUAUGAAUACAAAUUUGCCAUUUUCCUUUCCGCUGCUGCUUCACUAUCUUGCUUUAGAGUCAAACACCACAUAGUGUACAUAUGAUGUGGCAUAGACUCUAUAAAUGCCAGAGAGCACUAAUUAAAUCAAAAUAUAAAAAAGAAAGGCACCCAACCAUAUUUCCUGACUCUGCCAUAAAAAUUUAGGUCAUGUUACAUAGAUACAACAUUGCUUUCACAGAUACCACUAAAUGAUGUUAUGAUCUUCUAAUAUAUUUUAAAAAUUAGUUGUUUAGUCCAGAAAGUGUUUCUGUACAUCUAAAUCUAUGUAAAAAAAAAAUCAGCUAAGCAUUUAAGCGUUACUAUUAGCAGGAUGUAAAAAAAGAUCACCAACUUCAAAAAUACGACUUAAAUUAAUUCUUCCCCAAAAGUAGUGAAAUCCCUCAAAACUCUAUAAACCUGAAAUGUUUGGGAAAAAAUCAGUUAGCCAAGGAAGAAAUGUAAUCCUAGCUUCCCCUCCAUUGUUUAAAGGGAUAUUGCAUAGAGGUUAAAGAAUUUUGUGGACCGUAAUGACAAUCUGCUGCUAUUGUUCUUCUGAUGUGAUACUUUUUGCCAAAUGUCUCAUUACUAAGAGAGGACAUGGUUUAUUUCAUUCUGUCAAACCAAUUCUGUAAACUGCAGUUGAACAUCACGUUUCCCCUUGGAAUGGAAUCAGACUCUUGUUGGUUUGGAACAUGAAAAUUAUUAACAAAACAUAAACACAAGCCCAUUCUGUGAAUCUUGUCUGGUAUCUUGUAACAUAUCGGAAAAAUGUAUUUUAAAAAUAUUUGUAACUCAGAAUAAACAAGAAUUUAGAGCAAAAUAUGCUCUUUACUAUAAA